AAUAUAAUCAAAAAAUGCUAGAAAUAUAUGAUGACUGUGUCGUAGGUCGGGAUCAUAUACUAAACAAUUAUCCAAAUGUCAAAACAACUGAUAAAUUUGUUAAAUCAAAAAUACUUCAAGAAUGCUCUGAAUCAUACAAUGAAUGUUAUUAUGAAAAAAUACAUGAAUUUCAAAAACAAAACAAACAAUUGAUUGAUGAUAUGAAUAACGAACACACAGUCGGUAAAUACAGGUUCACUAAAACAAUUGGAGAAGCUUUGAAAUGUCGAUUUCAAUUGUUAAAUAUACCAUACAAUGGUUAACCAUAACCAACAACAACAACAUUAAAUUUUUUCAAAUUUUAUACAAAUCAUGUCGUAAAAAAGCGUAUUUGGUUUUAUAAUAAUUUUUUUCAAACAAAAAAAAUUU